AUUGCAUUAGCAACAACGCUUGAUAUUCAGGUCUUAAAAUGAAAAUGGCACUUUCUUGGCACUUUUAGACCAAAAAAACGUUGUAUAAUUGUAAUAUGAGAGAAGUGAAUGAUUCUUUGCUUCUCUGAUAAACCCUUUUU
rnacentral:ncRNA from 1 species